rnacentral:lncRNA from 1 species
UCCUUGAAGCCCGUGAGACACGAACGCUUCCAUUGAGAAAAACCUUCCAUCAGAAGAAGACUUCUCGUCUCAGUGGGACUGCUGAGUUGAAUGGAAGGAGGACAAAAUUUGCUGAAAAAUCAAUUAAAAUGGGAAAUGGGAUGAGGUGCUUUUUUUUCUGAAGCUUUGGUAGUGUAACUGUAAGAGUCCUGGAAUUGGAAAAGCAAAUCCAGAAGUUGAGUUCCAUGACUUUUUUGCUGUUUGCCUUUGGGUAAGUCUACGAUAUCCAGUUUCUGCAUCUCUCAAUUUUGUUAUAAAGACUAAAUAAGGUAGUAUACAUGUACACAUGUACAG